GUUUUGGUGGCACAAUGGUUAGGCGCUCGACUGAUAAUCGAGAGGUUAGUGGUUUGAACCUACCCAGCAGCA
rnacentral:tRNA from 1 species